CACGGGUGAGUAACACGUAUCCAACCUGCCGUCUACUCUUGGACAGCCUUCUGAAAGGAAAGAUUAAUACAAGAUGGCAUCAUGAGUCCACAUGUUCACAUGAUUAAAGGUAUUCCGGUAGACGAUGGGGAUGCGUUCCAUUAGAUAGUAGGCGGGGUAACGGCCCACCUAGUCUUCGAUGGAUAGGGGUUCUGAGAGGAAGGUCCCCCACAUUGGAACUGAGACACGGUCCAA
rnacentral:rRNA from 1 species